UACGAGGGGGGCGAGCGUUGUUCGGAAUUAUUGGGCGUAAAGGGUGCGUAGGCGGUUUGGUAAGUCUUAUGUGAAAUCUACAGGCUCAACUUGUAGUCUGCAUGAGAAACUGCCGGGCUUGAGUAUGGGAGAGGUGAGUGGAAUUCCUGGUGUAGCGGUGAAAUGCGUAGAUAUCAGGAGGAACACCUGUGGCGAAAGCGGCUUCCUGGUCCAGCACCGACGUUCAGGCACGAAAGCGUGGGGAGCAAACAGG
rnacentral:rRNA from 1 species